UUAUCCUGAAGCAGGGACGGAGGAUGGAGGAAGAAAAGACAGAAGCAGCCGGUGACACUGUGAGUCCUAGACCAGGUGGGUACAGCCCCCCUGGAGAAGGGCAAGCUUUGCCUCGCUGAGGGAGCCAGAGCUUCCAUUGUCCACCGUGCUUUCAGAGUUUGUUCCCAGAUCGUCUUUUCUGAUGAUCUCAAGAUGCCUGCAGAGGACACAAUUUGAUUUGUGUUUGUUCAUGUUCAGUGAGAAGAAACUUUCCCAGAAGUCCCUGGCAAAGCAUCCUAACCCGGGUAGGUAAAUCAUCUUUGACAUGUGACAAAACUUCAUGUACGAAGAGGCUCCAUACACACUUUCACCUCAGAGGACAGAACAAAGGAAGGGUACUACCAAAAUCCAACAUGGUUUUAUUAGGGUUACUUAGAGGAAUAUGGGUGGGCGGUUUACAUAUAGGAGCAGGACUCAAAGUCACUGCAUAACUACAGCCCACGGUAGCAUGGGCUCACAAAGCUGGGAACCUGGAGCACACCACACAGCCUGCAGGCAGCCCAACAGGUCUCAGAGUGUUCUUUCCAGGUUGUUCUAAACCAGCUCCAGGCAGCUGGUCUGGCCUGAGGGUCUGCUGUGCAGCACCACUUGUCCAGAGUCUGCGUUUGCACUUAGUUUGUCUGACAAUCUUUGUUACUCUUGGCAGGGAGGGACCUAGUGAAUCUGGUCAGUUUCAGGGUCGGUUACCCUCCCAUUUAAAGGGCCUCCCUGCAGGAUGGAACCUUACACACUCUCUAAGACCAUGACCCAGACUAGUGCGGCGGACUUUCCUAUAGUGAUUUGGAACCCGGCUGCCCUGUCCCUGAUGCCCAGCUGGGAGGCACAGAGCCUUGCUAGAAAGGAGAAGAAAGAGAAUGCAUGUGGGGAAUAGACCUGGUGACCAUUAUCUUUUCUGAUCAUUUCAUUAGAUAAUGUCACUAAUGACAUUAGGGUUUUUUUUUUUUGUUUGUUUGUUUGUUUUUUCUUUUGUUUUUGUCUUGAGGCAAACAUCUUUCUUUUUUUUUUUUUUUUCCUUUUUUUUCCUUUUUCUUUUUUUCGGAGCUGGGGACCGAACCCAGGGCCUUGCGCUUCCUAGGCAAGCGCUCUACCACUGAGCUAAAUCCCCAACCCCGGCAAACAUCUUUCAAACUUCAUCCCUACGAGUCUGAAACCUUAGACUACUGAUUGAGAUGAGACGGGGCAUGAGGGUUCCAGAACACCUUUGCCUCCGUAACCUCCCGGGAUCUAAGAACUCUAGCAGGAGUGCCUUGAGUUCUAUGAGCCAUACCCACAGGUCUUGCCUGACAGGAUGAAUGUGGCCUGAGAGGACGAACCAUUAGGACCUGUGUACCCAUACACUGGGCAGACACACUCUUUAAGAAAGUCAGAAAGUAUGAGGGCGUAGGAUAACUGGAUGGGUGUUUUGACAGGGAUGAAGGAAUGGGUCUUGAUCUGGGCAUAGGAUAAGGGUCGUCACUUAGCAAGGACCCUGAGGGCUUUUGUGAACCUGAAGAAAGGAGGACAAGGGCUGGGAGCAUGUGGAGGAAGGAUUAACACUGCCUCGCUCUUGCAGUCUUAACUCGACUGGAUUUACAAUCCUGGUGCUGGGUUCAGCUGAACAGGAAUUCUCUUAGUUUGUGUGCUUUUGGGGGCAAUGCUAAGAUGACGGGGUGGGUCAGUGGGCUAAGAGCUUGUGUAAGCAUGAGGACCUGGGUUUGGACCUCCAGGCCCCUUGCACGGGCAUACGGGCACGGCGUGUGCUUUUGUAAACCAGCACUUCGGAGGGGCAAAGAUACCUGUGUCCUGGGGACUCAUUGCUCAGCCAGUCUAGCUGGAACAGCAAGCCCCAGGGUUACCGAGAGACCUUGUCUCAGAAAAUGUGAGAGGGGCUGGAGGGAUGGCUCAGUGGUUAAGAGCCCUGGCAGCUCUUCCAGAGGACCUGGAUUAGAUCCCCAGAAUCUACAUGGCAGCUCACAACCGUCUAUGAUUCCAGUCCCAGGGGAUCCAAUGCUUUCUUCUGAGUGCGGCAGGCACUGGCAUGCAUGUGGUGCACAUGUGUACAUGCAGGCAAAGCACUCAUUCACAGAAAAUAAAAAAUAAAGUUAAAAAAGUAAGGUGAGGGAGAUAAAGCAAGACACCCGAUGUUCACCAGUAGCCUCCACCUGUGAGUAUACACAGACACACAGACACACAGACACACAGACACACACAGACACACCAAACACACACAUACAGAGACACAUACACACACACAUACAGAUACACACAGAUACACACAGACACACACGCAUACAGAUACACAGAGAUAGACACACACACAGAGACACACAUACACAGACACACACACACAGACACACAUGCAUACAGAUACACAGAGACACACACACAUAGAGAGACACACACAUACACAGAUACACACAUACACAGAGACACAAAUACACACACACAGAUACACUAGACACACACACAUACAGAUAAGCACACACAGACACAUAUACACACUCAUACAGAUACACACAGAUACACACAGACACACAUGCAUACAGAUACACAGAGAGAGACACACACACAGACACACAGACACACACACAGACACACACACAUACAUACACAGACACACACACUCAGACACACACACACAUACACAGAUACACACACAGAGACACAAAUAUACACACACAGACACACAGACACAGACACAGACACACAUACACACACACACACACACACACACACACACACACACACACAGGA